CGCGGGGCCGUUGGAGCCUCUCCCGGGCCGGAGAAGGGUAUGUGACUGAGAUCAGGGCUCUUAUCGUACUGAGCAUAGCCCUGUUCUGCCAGGUGCUGCAGAGACACCAAAUGAGAUCUGGGCCCUAUUCUGCCAGGCACUGAAGAGACCUGAGGCUACAGAAUAACGUCCACGUUUCGCCCCAAAUCAUCUCCUCCUCCCAGCAGGAAGG